rnacentral:rRNA from 1 species
AUUGAACGCUGGCGGCAGGCCUAACACAUGCAAGUCGAAUGGUAACAGGAAACAGCUUGCUGUUUCGCUGACGAGUGGCGGACGGGUGAGUAAUGUCUGGGAAACUGCCUGAUGGAGGGGGAUAACUACUGGAAACGGUAGCUAAUACCGCAUAACGUCGCAAGACCAAAGAGGGGGACCUUCGGGCCUCUUGCCAUCAGAUGUGCCCAGAUGGGAUUAGCUAGUAGGUGGGGUAACGGCUCACCUAGGCGACGAUCCCUAGCUGGUCUGAGAGGAUGACCAGCCACACUGGAACUGAGACACGGUCCAGACUCCUACGGGAGGCAGCAGUGGGGAAUAUUGCACAAUGGGCGCAAGCCUGAUGCAGCCAUGCCGCGUGUAUGAAGAAGGCCUUCGGGUUGUAAAGUACUUUCAGCGGGGAGGAAGGGAGUAAAGUUAAUACCCUUGCUCAUUGACGUUACCCGCAGAAGAAGCACCGGCUAACUCCGUG